UACAGAGGGUGCAAGCGUUAAUCGGAUUUACUGGGCGUAAAGCGCUCGUAGGCGGUCCGCUAAGUCGGUUGUGAAAUCCCUGGGCUUAACCUGGGAACUGCAGUCGAUACUGGCGGACUAGAGUACGGUAGAGGGUGGCGGAACUCCGGGUGUAGCGGUGAAAUGCGUAGAUAUCCGGAAGAACACCGAUGGCGAAGGCAACCACCUGGGCCUGUACUGACGCUGAGGUACGAAAGCGUGGGGAGCAAACAGG
rnacentral:rRNA from 1 species